rnacentral:rRNA from 1 species
AGAGUUUGAUCCUGGCUCAGGACGAACGCUGGCGGCGCGCCUAACACAUGCAAGUCGAACGAGCGAGAGAGAGCUUGCUUUCUCGAGCGAGUGGCGAACGGGUGAGUAACGCGUGAGGAACCUGCCUCAAAGAGGGGGACAACAGUUGGAAACGACUGCUAAUACCGCAUAAGCCCACGGUGCCGCAUGGCACAGAGGGAAAAGGAGCAAUCCGCUUUGAGAUGGCCUCGCGUCCGAUUAGCUAGUUGGUGGGGUAACGGCCCACCAAGGCGACGAUCGGUAGCCGGACUGAGAGGUUGAACGGCCACAUUGGGACUGAGACACGGCCCAGACUCCUACGGGAGGCAGCAGUGGGGAAUAUUGCACAAUGGGGGGAACCCUGAUGCAGCGACGCCGCGUGGAGGAAGAAGGUCUUCGGAUUGUAAACUCCUGUUGUUGGGGAAGAUAAUGACGGUACCCAACAAGGAAGUGACGGCUAACUACGUGCCAGCAGCCGCGGUAAAACGUAGGUCACAAGCGUUGUCCGGAAUUACUGGGUGUAAAGGGAGCGCAGGCGGGAAGACAAGUUGGAAGUGAAAUCUAUGGGCUCAACCCAUAAACUGCUUUCAAAACUGUUUUUCUUGAGUAGUGCAGAGGUAGGCGGAAUUCCCGGUGUAGCGGUGGAAUGCGUAGAUAUCGGGAGGAACACCAGUGGCGAAGGCGGCCUACUGGGCACCAACUGACGCUGAGGCUCGAAAGUGUGGGUAGCAAACAGGAUUAGAUACCCUGGUAGUCCACACCGUAAACGAUGAUUACUAGGUGUUGGAGGAUUGACCCCUUCAGUGCCGCAGUUAACACAAUAAGUAAUCCACCUGGGGAGUACGACCGCAAGGUUGAAACUCAAAGGAAUUGACGGGGGCCCGCACAAGCAGUGGAGUAUGUGGUUUAAUUCGACGCAACGCGAAGAACCUUACCAAGUCUUGACAUCCCUUGACAGGCAUAGAAAUAUGUUUUCUCUUCGGAGCAAGGAGACAGGUGGUGCAUGGUUGUCGUCAGCUCGUGUCGUGAGAUGUUGGGUUAAGUCCCGCAACGAGCGCAACCCUUAUGGUCAGUUACUACGCAAGAGGACUCUGGCCAGACUGCCGUUGACAAAACGGAGGAAGGUGGGGAUGACGUCAAAUCAUCAUGCCCUUUAUGACUUGGGCUACACACGUACUACAAUGGCGUUAAACAAAGAGAAGCGAGACCGCGAGGUGGAACAAAACUCAGAAACAACGUCCCAGUUCGGACUGCAGGCUGCAACUCGCCUGCACGAAGUCGGAAUUGCUAGUAAUCGUGGAUCAGCAUGCCACGGUGAAUACGUUCCCGGGCCUUGUACACACCGCCCGUCACACCAUGAGAGCCGGGGGGACCCGAAGUCGGUAGUCUAACCGCAA